CUACUUCCCUGCAUUUCUCCUCUGUGCUCACUGCCACACGCAGCUCAGCCUGGGCGGCACAGCCAGAUGCGAGAUGCGUCUCUGCUGAUCUGAGUCUGCCUGCAGCAUGGACCUGGGUCUUCCCUGAAGCAUCUCCAGGGCUGGAGGGACGACUGCCAUGGGCUGAGUCUGGGCCCCAGGACCCACGUGCAGACAGGGACCAUCCCCAAGCCCACCCUGUGGGCUGAGCCAGACUCUGUGAUCACCCAGGGGAGUCCCGUCACCCUCAGUUGUCAGGGGAGCCUUGAAGCCCAGGAGUACCGUCUAUAUAGGGAGAAAAAAUCAGCAUCUUGGAUUACACGGAUACGACCAGAGCUUGUGAAGAACGGCCAGUUCCACAUCCCAUCCAUCACCUGGGAACACACAGGGCGAUAUGGCUGUCAGUAUUACAGCCGCGCUCGGUGGUCUGAGCUCAGUGACCCCCUGGUGCUGGUGAUGACAGGAGCCUACCCAAAACCCACCCUCUCAGCCCAGCCCAGCCCUGUGGUGACCUCAGGAGGAAGGGUGACCCUCCAGUGUGAGUCACAGGUGGCAUUUGGCGGCUUCAUUCUGUGUAAGGAAGGAGAAGAUGAACA
rnacentral:misc_RNA from 1 species